GGCCCUGUGGCUUAGUUGGUUAAAGCGCCUGUCUAGUAAACAGGAGAUCACCGGUCGAAUCCGGUCAGGGCCU